rnacentral:rRNA from 1 species
UCCGUAGGUGAACCUGCGGAAGGAUCAUUACCGAGUUGAUUCGGGCUCCGGCCCGAUCCUCCCACCCUUUGUGUACCUACCUCUGUUGCUUUGGCGGGCCGCGGUUCUCCGCGGCCGCCCCCCUCCCCGGGGGGUGGCCAGCGCCCGCCAGAGGACCAUCAAACUCCAGUCAGUAAACGAUGCAGUCUGAAAAACAUUUAAUAAACUAAAACUUUCAACAACGGAUCUCUUGGUUCUGGCAUCGAUGAAGAACGCAGCGAAAUGCGAUAAGUAAUGUGAAUUGCAGAAUUCAGUGAAUCAUCGAAUCUUUGAACGCACAUUGCGCCCUUCGGUAUUCCGAAGGGCAUGCCUGUUCGAGCGUCAUUACAACCCUCAAGCUCUGCUUGGUAUUGGGCACCGUCCUUUGCGGGCGCGCCUCAAAGACCUCGGCGGUGGCGUCUUGCCUCAAGCGUAGUAGAACAUACAUCUCGCUUCGGAGCGCAGGGCGUCGCCCGCCGGACGAACCUUCUGAACUUUUCUCAAGGUUGACCUCGGAUCAGGUAGGGAUACCCGCUGAACUUAAGCAUAUCAAUAAGCGGAGGA